GGUUUUGGAAUUUUGUAACCCAUAUUUUCUCUAUUCUCAUUCAAAUAUCAAACCAUAUAGGUUUUUCUUGAAAAUUUUAAAUAAAUUCUCAAAUUCUCAUCUAGGUUUUAUUCUUUAACCUUUAUUCUAAUCAUUCAAGAUUUUAGAAACUUUUCGGGUUGUCACAUUCACCCCUUCUUCUAAGAAUUUCGUCCUCGAAAUUAAAGCAUCCUAAUCUCUGCUCAUUCUCUUGAUCAAAACUAGGUUUUCAAUUUAACCUUUACAAUUUCCUCAUUCGAGGAUUUCUCAUCUAUUAUCACAUUUCACCAUAACUACUCACUAGGAGUUUACAUCUUCUAAACAUUCAUCAAAACUAGGUUGUCAUAAUAACCUUUAUUUAAUCAUCUCAGAUUCUACUCGUACGCAACGAGUUUACACUAUUUCAUAUCCAUCAUCACAUUCUACCACAACAUUACUUUGAAGAGUUAAAAAAAACUUUUCAUAUCUGUCUGAGGGAUCAUAAAAAUUAUGAACUUUGAACUCCGAGGUUUAGGGGUAUUUCUACCUGCUACCUCUUUCAAUUAAGAAAGAAAGGUACUCUACCUCUUAAACAUUUCUUUAAUAGGUAUGUUUACAAUCACGAAGAAGGUAAACUACCGAUUCUGGUACUUUAGAUGAUCAGUCUAUUGUACCUUAGUAAUCCGAACGACUAUAUGCGUCCUUAAAUUGGAAUAUUCUAUCCAAUUAGUAUAUCCCCAUUUUCAGGGUUGUUCACCUCAGACUUAGUAUAGGAUUCCGCACCAAAACAAUUUGGUUCGGGAAAUUUCUUUCAAUGAACACUUAGAGUUUUCAUAAACAUUAGUCUAGCUGAAUCGAAUAGCAUAGACUCAUAUCGAUAAUUCAGUUCAAUAGAAUUAUUUAAGUAUAGCCAAACCCCGUUGGCAAAUUAAAAUUUUGAAAACAUUUUUCGAGAAUGACGUCAUGAUGCCGCACUGUAUUUACAGUCCGUUGAGGAUUCCGUCAUUUGGUGAUUUUAUCAUACUACAUCAUACCAUAGUGGGUUGACGAUCCUGAGAUCACAUCCAACACUAAGUAAUACUGCAUUGAUGACUCCAUCAUUUUUUUAUCAUCUCUGCACCAGGUUGCAUGGUACAUAAGUGAUAAAUAAAAACAACUUUUGAUACUUCAAAUCAUUCGCGUCUAGCCGAAAUAAGUAGCAUAGACUGUACUUUAAAUCGUUUCAAAAAUCUUUGCAAAUCAGUUUUAUCAUCUCAACAGGUAACGAGGUGUCGAUGGCCCGAAGUCCACGCAUACACAAUAAUCACCAGGAGUUGAGAAUAAAAAUUCAUUUUUCAAAAGCACAUAGUGCGUAUUUAGCUUGAUGUCAAAAACUUCGAAGUCUAGCAUAGCUAGAAGAUUUGGAAUACCUAUGCUUCCAUCAUCAACUUCACUUUUUCUACUGAUCCAUUACUUAAUAGAUCUAUCUAUUCUUAUAAUCCUCAAUGCUCCAUUCACCACUUUGCUAUACCCCAGUUCAUCAAACUUACCACACAUUAUGAGUUCAGGAACUUGCCACAAUCAUAUGAGUUUAAGAACUUAUCCUAGUCAGACCAUAGGCGUCCAUUCGCUGAGGGGUUCAAAACAUACCAUAUGAUUAUGAGUCAUGAACUUACCAUAAGUAUGAGUUUUAAGAACUCGCAACUUAACCUUAUAUCCUCUACCUAUUCGUUAUACACAUGAGAAAAGAAUCACCUUCUCAACAUGCAUAUAACAAAUAGCGCGACAUAAACAUUUCAAUGAUUAUCAGUGCCAGAAACUAAGUGGUUUUUACACCAAGUACAAUUCAGCUCCCAUACGAAGAAUUAUACACUCAGCUGCCGACAUGAGUCCUCAAUUGAAUCCCCACCUAACACUAACCCCAUUCUCCAUACGAAUUUAAUUCGUAUUUAUAAUUCUCUUCUGGAUCUGUACCAAUUUAUAGUACAAUUCAUACACAGCAAUCUUGCUGUAAACUUUUCAUCAUUCUCUUGAUCUUUCUUCAUACCAUAAUCUUAUCAGAUCACGGAGUGAUCUCAUCGUAUAUAUUACGAUUCAUUGCUAUUCUGUGAUCGUUUUGUUUUACGAUCUCUCAUCCUUACACUUGUAAUCUCUUAGACUCUAUCUAUCCACUUCCUAUACUUGGUACACAUCGAGUCUCUAACAGUUUUCAAUAUGGUACGCUGAGUGGUUUCCCACAAACAACCAACAAACUAGGUUCCGAGUUGCUAGUUCGUAUAUACCUCCGCUCUAUGAAGGAAUCGUUUAGCCCAGAUACCAUACAUCAACUAGUUUCGAGUACAAUGGUACCAUACUUAAACCUAACUUUUUGACCCUGCGAGAUUCUUCAACUAACUCUAUGUGAGUUAGUACUUAUCCUAAUCACUGCGGUUAUUGGUCUCAGGUAUUGCUACCUAAGCUUCAUAACCAACAGCUUUGAUACCAACUGUAGCAUCCCCGAAUCCGGGUCCCGAAUCGCCGCGGAUCCGGUUCGCUAUUUCUACAACUGUUUGCGGAAGAUAUAAACAUAGAUUGUUUAUACAUUAAACUUUACACACAUUUCCCCAGAAUCGAGUAACCUUCACUUAUACACAAUCAUGAACUAUCUAGCACAUGACAAUACUAUUCUUCAACAUACUUUACAACUUAACUUCACAUUCUGUACCAAGCUGAACUUGGCAUUAUCCUUUUUCUGUAUCUGGCCGUAUUCGCCUUAUCUGCAAUGUUUUAUCAUGAUAUAGCAAGGGUGAGCAUGAAAGUUGCCCAGCAAGUUUAAAAAAAACAAGGUAAAGAUAUAUCAUGAUUGAAAGAGUUUGAAUAAUAAGCUGGCUAUCCUUCACAAUGUAGUUGUGAAUUAGCAUGAACAAAAUUUCAAAGCUGAAUGAACAUUGAAAAUGAACAUAACAAUUAUAUCUGAACUGACUGGUAAUGAAGGUGAUCAGCCUUUCAUACCUGAUGAAUACAUGCAAUAUGUACAGAGUACAAUUCAUAAGCAUAUCUGUCUGAAACCACUCUUAAAAGAGUUUAAGUAAAAAGAACUUGAAAAACUUGCCUGAACCGUUGAUUACCGUAACGCAAUAUAAUACGCUUCUCCUGAAGACCUAAUAUUAAUAAUAUAGAUCUCCAAUAUUAGAAUAAUAUCAUCACCGUUAUAAAAUAACUUAAACACAUAAUCCUAUCAGUCUAUACAGCAUAUAAAACCUAUAAUAGAUCUUUCGGUUAGUCAUAACAUAUAGUUAAGUAUUAGACAUUAGUUUUAAGUCUUAAUAUUAUUAUUAUACUUUGAUAUUCUUUUAAUCACAUCAUAACUUAUACUUAUAAGUUAUUCAUUUUUAUAUGUUAUCCUAGUAAAUUAGAUAACAUCUUAGUAAACCGAAAUACCAUUUCAGUAAGACGGAUUUUAUUUCAGUAUCCCGAAAUCACUAUUCUUUUUCACGAAAAAUACCAAAUCAACUUAUUAUUUUUUUAUCCUUUGGUCAAACAUAUAUACAUGUAUUUCAUACAUAAAAAAUAUUUUUCCGUAAUUUUUCAAUUUCUUUUACUAUUUUUCAAAAAUCAUAAUUAGUGCGUGACUUAAGAAAAUUAGCUACCUCGUGCUUAACUCCAGAGAUGCCCAUCUUUUGACAUAACCUUAUAUAUGUUAACGUGAUGCUCCAUUUUAAAUUUCGUGGCAAUCGGAGUUGUAGAACUCCGGUUAUAGCGAUUUCCGUCGGAAAAUCACAAAAAUUGAAAUGGUCAUAACUUGGUCGUUUUAAGCCGGAAUUAGCUCAUUUUUGGACACGAGCUACAUAUUACCAUAUAUUUUCAUUUCCCAAAAGCCUGUAAUUUUUCUCAUUAACUAAAUGUCCAAAACAGCCCUCGGAAAAUUUUGGCCAGAAACUUUUUGCACUUUGGCAGUUUUGGAGUCCUUCACCAAAACUUAAAUAAAACGAAAUCUGUAACUCCGAUUAAUGAUCCGUCAAUUUUGUUGGAUUCGUAUCUUUCCGAACUACAGUUUUCAUAUAUCACAAUCCAUAUUUGGAUAUGUUUAGCUCCCGGAAUUUAGCCCGGAAGUGACUGUUCCAAAACUGUCCUUUUCACAGUUUUCUUAACUUUGUGUAGUUUGGGAGAAAUCCCAUAACUCCCUCCUCCGAUGUCGGAUUUAGUCCGUUUUGGAGUCUAUGGAAAGCUUAUUGAGUGUACUAUAACAUAUCACAAGUCCAGAAUUUUUAGAGCACUCUAACAAAUCCGAAAUUUUCUGUUUUAGGGCAGCAGUCCACUAACUCAUUUAAAACAAAAAAAACUGUUUUGGUUAUUCUUCUUUGUUCAAGCCUAUCAACCCUAAAAAUGGCAAGAUCUAACCAUAAAAUAUCAUUUAUCAUGUAGAUCUAUAGUUCUCAUGUUCAAGAUCUUAAACUUAUGGUUCAAAAUCAUAAGUUCAACACUUGAUCUAAAACACCAUAUCAAAACACUUUAACUAACAAGAGUUUUGAGUUUAGGAAAUUUUUACCUUUAGCUUCAUGACAUAUCUUUUUCUUCCAACUAUGUGAUGGAUCUUGGAUGGAAUGAAAAAUCAAAAUCUCUUCUCCUUCUUUCUUGGAGUUUCCUAACUCCCCUCUCCCUCUCUCUCUUGUCUCUCUCUUUCUUUCUUAGUUAUGUUGGAAAAUAAGAUGAGAAAAGUGAAGAAUAUGAUUUUUGUUUAGUGUAAUAAUGUAAGAAAUGUAUCUAGACAUUAGUUUGCUUGAUAAUUGAGGUGUAAUAGCAUAGUAACAUGAGUGACUUCUAGAAGCAAUUGAUUAGCUAGCAUAAUUGAAGAUUCUUAUCAACAAUGUUACUAAUAAUACACUAAUAAAACAAAAGGGUAUACUAGUAAUUUCCACAUUAAUAAAUGAUUUCUUUUUAAUUCUUAUUUAUUAUACCAAAUGUCCAAUAUGUCCCUCCUUAUUUGGGCUUAAAUUUGGGUCACCAUUUCCAUCUUUUGGGCUAUCAAUAAAUAAUAUAUUGGACUUAAAAUUUAAUUCUUUGGGCCAUGUAAAUUAACAUAGUCCAACACUCUUAAUUCUUAUCCAACCCAAAUCAUUUAAUUAGGGUUUUCAUUUUCCUCAAUUAUAACUUAAAUCCUUACUCAUGCACAUUUAUUUCCUUAACCCAAUUAGACUUGCUAAAAUUAGGUUAUAAAAUUAAUUAACUGAGAUGUAUAAAAUAAAUCUCUCAUAAUUGGUAUAUAUUCUAAAUACCAUAAUUUUCUCAUCUCAUAACCCUUAAGUUAUUAAAUUCUUCAUUCCUAAUAUAUAAUUAGGAUCACAUUAGUUUCUUUUAUUUGUUUAUAUAAUAAACAAUAUAAACCAUCACAUAAUCUUCAUAUUCCUUUACUCACCUAUUCGAACAAAAUAAUUUAAUAAAUUGUGACAUGUUCCACAAUUCUCUUAAAUUAGGUCACUAAUAUAAAAAUAAAAUAUUAGGACCACUAAAUAACGAUAACCAUUUAGGUUAUUUAAUUAUCACACCUAAUAUAUAUAUUAGGUUACAUAAUUUAAUUCUUACUUCACUUUUAUAUACAAAAUAAAUGUAUUCACAUUAUAUAAUGUAUAUUUAUUUAAUCAUACACAUAAUUCAUAUUCAUUACACACAUAACUUUUAAUCCCUUAGGGUUUUAUACAAAACAUUAGGAUUUCUAAUUUAACAAUUAGGGUUAUCCCUAAUAUAUAAUCACAAAUACUUAAGCCAUUAUAUUUAGCCUUUGACUUCCCAAAUUAGGGUUUCAAAUACUGAAUUAGGAUUUCGGAUUCCCGGUACUGAAAUUAGGGUUUCCAGAACCGAUUUCUAGGGUUUCUUAUAAAUCGUAAUAAUUUUAUAACUGAACGUUGACGUUCUAAUAAUAUUAGGGUUUGACACAGAUAUAAUUUAUCUGGUCAACACUUGACCCUUAACCACAUUCUGUACACAUAAUACCGUAAUCACAGAAUAUAUACACACAUACCCUUAAUCCUGAAUAAUUCACUAAAAGAAAUUUUAAAUCCUCAAAAUUCCUUUCUGAAAACAUCAAACACAUACACUUAUUCUCUGUCUAGGUCUAUUAUUUGACCUUAAACCAAUCAUUUAAGAUUUUAAUAAUUUUCUAAUUUCUCGGGUUGUCACAUUCACCCCUUCUUCUAAGAAUUUCGUCCUCGAAAUUAAAGCAUCCUAACCUCUGCUCAUUCUCUUGAUCAAAACUAGGUUUUCAAUUUAACCUUUACAAUUUCCUCAUUCGAGGAUUUCUCAUCUAUUAUCACAUUUCACCAUAACUACUCACUAGGAGUUUACAUCUUCUAAACAUUCAUCAAAACUAGGUUGUCAUAAUAACCUUUAUUUAAUCAUCUCAGAUUCUACUCGUACGCAACGAGUUUACACUAUUUCAUAUCCAUCAUCACAUUCUACCACAACAUUACUUUGAAGAGUUAAAAAAAACUUUUCAUAUCUGUCUGAGGGAUCAUAAAAAUUAUGAACUUUGAACUCCGAGGUUUAGGGGUAUUUCUACCUGCUACCUCUUUCAAUUAAGAAAGAAAGGUACUCUACCUCUUAAACAUUUCUUUAAUAGGUAUGUUUACAAUCACGAAGAAGG
rnacentral:lncRNA from 1 species